ensembl:lncRNA
CAAGAGAUGUGGUUUCAAUCCCUAGGUGGUGAAGAUCCCCUAGAGGAGGAAAUGGCAACCCACUCCAGUAUUCUUGCCUGAAAAAUCCAAUAGAAAGAGGAGCCUGGCAGGCUACAGUCCAUGGGGUCUCAAGGAGUUGGACAUGACUAAGGACAUGUCCAAAAGCUAGAGACAAAGGCAGAAGGAAGAUCAUAGAGGACUUGGUAAGCCAUGAUGAAAAUCUAUACUUUGUCUAGUUGGUAAUGGAGUUUAAGCAAGGGAGUAGCAUUACCAUUUUGCUUUAUUUUUUUCUUUACUCUUUAAGAGAAGGGAGCCAGCUUGUCACUUAGGAAAUCAGUUAAGAGACCAAAGCACCUGCCCAAGAGAGAAAGCAGAGAGCUGGUAUUCAGAUAGUUGCAGAGUGCAGGGAGGAUGGGAGGAGGUGGUGUGGAGAGAUGUCAUAGAAUAGAAUAGAAUGUAUAGAUCUUGUCUUGGUGACCAGUUGAUUGCAGGAGAGAGAGUAGGACUUCUGGUCUGGGUGGUUAGGUAGAUCAUGGGGCCAUUUACUAAGAUGAAGACACAGUUAAAACUAUUGGAUAGUUCAUAUAAAGAAUAUUAAUGAAUUCAAUAUACGAUUAAUGGGAUGUUGUCACUGUUUUUCUCCAAAGCAUGCGCUCAGACAGAACAGCGGGCAGAGGUUGCAGUCUCCUCACAGGAAGGAUUUGAGGAAAGUGUUGAUCAUUAUCCAUCUAUGGCUUCCCCGGUGGUACUAAUGGUACAGGAUCCACCUGCCAGUGCAGGAGAUGCAAGAGAUGUAGGUUUGAUCCUUGGGUUGGGAAGAUCCCCUGGAGGAGGAAAUGGCAACCGACUCCAGUAUUCUUGCCUGGAGAAUUCCACAGACAGAGGAGCCUGCUGUAUUUCCACGAGAAUGAAUUGCUGGUUCAUUUAUCAGGUGUGAAGGAGUGGAUGUUAACAGAAGAACAUUUCCUGUCACCUGCUACCAUUUGUGGACUUGGACUGUGAGUGGCGAGGAUGACGAUGUCUCUAAACGGGUAGCCACUUGGCACUCACUGUUCUGAAAGGAAUGAAAGAAUACUUCAGUCCCUUAUAGAAAUCUCUUUAAAAUAAAGAUGGUGGCAGUUUGUAUCCUCAUAUCUAAGAAAUAUGGAAACUAGAACACCAGAGAAAUUUUGAAUUUGGAAAAUUGACUUUGCCUCUCACCAUUUCAGUUAGAUGGCCGAGUGAUGGUGGUUGAAGAACCAUCCUUGGACCAGGGAUGGGGCUUUCUAUUUUAUUCUCCAGAGCACUGUUCCCUAACUUUCAUUUUUUUGAGUUGUAU